AAUUCGAUUAGUUUGAUCCUGGCUCAGGACGAACGCUGGCGGCGUGCUUAACACAUGCAAGUCGAGCGGUAAGGCCCUUUUGGGGGUACACGAGCGGCGAACGGGUGAGUAACACGUGGGUGACCUGCCUUCAGCUCUGGGAUAAGCUUGGGAAACUGGGUCUAAUACCGGAUAUGACUGUCUGCCGCAUGGUGGGUGGUGGAAAGUUCUUGGGCUUUGGUCUGGGUUCGGCUGGGGAUGGGCCUGCGGCCUAUCAGCUUGUUGGUGGGGUGAUGGCCUACCAAGGCGACGACGGGUAGCCGGCCUGAGAGGGCGACCGGCCACACUGGGACUGAGACACGGCCCAGACUCCUACGGGAGGCAGCAGUGGGGAAUAUUGCGCAAUGGGCGGAAGCCUGACGCAGCGACGCCGCGUGGGGGAUGACGGCCUUCGGGUUGUAAACCUCUUUCGCCAUCGACGAAGGUUCUGUGGUUGUGAGGCUGCAGGGCUGACGGUAGGUGGAGAAGAAGCACCGGCCAACUACGUGCCAGCAGCCGCGGUAAUACGUAGGGUGCGAGCGUUGUCCGGAAUUAUUGGGCGUAAAGAGCUCGUAGGCGGUGUGUCGCGUCGGCCGUGAAAACCUGCAGCUUAACUGUGGGCGUGCGGUCGAUACGGGCAUCACUGGAGUUCGGCAGGGGAGACU
rnacentral:rRNA from 1 species